rnacentral:rRNA from 1 species
GAUGAACGCUGGCGGCGUGCCUAACACAUGCAAGUCGAACGGAGUUUUAUGAAGUUUUCGGGCGGAAUAAAACUUAGUGGCGGACGGGUGAGUAACGCGUGGGUAACCUGCCUCAUACAGGGGGAUAACAGUUGGAAACGGCUGCUAAAACCGCAUAAGCAUACAUUGUCGCAUGGCAGAGUGUGAAAAUAUUUAUAGGUAUGAGAUGGGCCCGCGUCUGAUUAGCUAGUUGGUAAGGUAACGGCUUACCAAGGCGACGAUCAGUAGCCGGCUUGAGAGAGUGACCGGCCACAUUGGGACUGAGACACGGCCCAAACUCCUACGGGAGGCAGCAGUGGGGAAUAUUGCACAAUGGGGGAAACCCUGAUGCAGCGACGCCGCGUGAGUGAAGAAGUAUUUCGGUAUGUAAAGCUCUAUCAGCAGGGAAGAAAAUGACGGUACCUGACUAAGAAGCCCCGGCUAACUACGUGCCAGCCGCCGCCGUAA